AACGAACGCUGGCGGCAUGCCUAACACAUGCAAGUCGAACGAGACCUUCGGGUCUAGUGGCGCACGGGUGCGUAACGCGUGGGAACCUGCCUUUAGGUUCGGAAUAACUCAGAGAAAUUUGAGCUAAUACCGGAUAAUGUCUUCGGACCAAAGAUUUAUCGCCUUUAGAUGGGCCCGCGUUGGAUUAGCUAGUUGGUGGGUAAAGCCUACCAAGGCGACGAUCCAUAGCUGGUCUGAGAGGAUGAUCAGCCACACUGGGACUGAGACACGGCCCAGACUCCUACGGGAGGCAGCAGUGGGGAAUAUUGGACAAUGGGCGAAAGCCUGAUCCAGCAAUGCCGCGUGAGUGAUGAAGGCCUUA
rnacentral:rRNA from 1 species